rnacentral:rRNA from 1 species
GACAUAGGGUGCAAACGUUGUUCGGAUUUACUGGGCGUAAAGCGUGUGUAGGCGGCUUCGCAAGUUGGAUGUGAAAUCCCACGGCUCAACCGUGGACGUGCAUCCAAAACUGCGUCGCUAGAGUCUCGGAGAGGAAGGUGGAAUGCUUGGUGUAGAGGUGAAAUUCGUAGAUAUCAAGCAGAACACCUGCGGCGAAGGCGGCCUUCUGGACGAUGACUGACGCUGAGACACGAAAGCGUGGGGAGCAAACAGG